rnacentral:tRNA from 1 species
CGGCCCAUAGCUCAGCUUGGCAGAGCACCGGGGUAAAAACCCGAAUGUCGCUGGUUCAAUUCCAGCUGGGCCGA